rnacentral:lncRNA from 1 species
AUCGAUUAGUUCUUAAAAUCUCUUAAAUGUAGUCCUUUUCUGUUUGCGUGGUUGCUAUCCUGAUUUUGGCAAAAGCUUCCAAAUUGUUUUUUUUUUUUUUACUUCUGUGUCAGCAACCCAUCCUAUAAUCUGUUGCCAGAUUAAUCUUCUAAAACAUGUAUUUUAUCAUGUCACUCUUUGGCUGAAAUUGCCCUCCUUGACCUCCAUUGUUUACACUGCCUGGAGGGCAGACAUAAACAUGUAAGCCACCUUUUUCUCCUUCUUCAUGGAAGACACUAAUAAUCAAUCAUGCUUUGUUUCUCUAAGAGCCAGUGGUCUCAGAAUUCUCAACACAGAGUUCUAAUGAACCACUGUCAAUUGCUAAGAGAUAGUUUUGACGAAACUUCUUUGUCACACUUGGACGACAACAAGAGAUCCAGAGUGAAAAGCUCACACCCAGUGAAGUCAAUGUAAGCUGAUCCCACUCUAUCUUCCUGUGGAUGAAGGUUUGAAAUAUUUCUGCUCUGCUUUAGCAAAUUCAGAACCUAACUAUCUGCUAAACAUGCUCUCUUCUGUCCAGACUCUGGGCCGCUGUUUCUGAGCUUAUGGAACAUGACCAAGGAAAUGCAGCGAAUACGUAGCAGCACUAAGAUUUCUGCUUGGCUGUCUGCUGUCUAACCAUGGGACCUUUGUACUUUAUCACCACAAGUACAGCCUUCUGCCUGGAGAUGCUCUCCCUCCCCCAAGACUGAUUAGAUGACUGCUUUUAGAAUUUCAUUCUUGCAGUCCCCUGGGAUGUAAUUCACUGCAGCCAGAAUGGAUUCGCUAUACACAGGAGUCAUCCUUCUAACCUGCCAUGUCCAUAGUCUGGCAUCUUCAUGCAACUGAAAGGAUGUUCCACUCAACAGUGAUGACUCUGGAGAGAGAAAAGAAAUCACAAAUGGGCCAAAUGCAGCUUAAGAGCUCCUCCUCUCAAAAGGAAGUCCACAAGUGGUCAGUGGCAUAUAGAUGGAAAACAUCCAAAUUUGAGUUCUUUUCACCACUCAGAAAUAUCAUGCCUCCCACGUAGUUAAUAGAGACACAAAUUCAGGAUACCAGAUGAGCAUCUAAGAUCCGAC